CCUGACGACCAUGGCUUGCGUGAACCACCCGAUCCCUUGCCGAACUCGGAAGUGAAACCGCAACGCGCCGAUGGUAGUGUGGGGUCUCCCCAUGCGAGAGUAGGUUAUCGUCAGGC
rnacentral:rRNA from 1 species